rnacentral:rRNA from 1 species
UAGGGAAUCUUCGGCAAUGGACGAAAGUCUGACCGAGCAACGCCGCGUGAGUGAAGAAGGUUUUCGGAUCGUAAAACUCUGUUGUUAGAGAAGAACAAGGACGUUAGUAACUGAACGUCCCCUGACGGUAUCUAACCAGAAAGCCACGGCUAACUACGUGCCAGCAGCCGCGGUAAUACGUAGGUGGCAAGCGUUGUCCGGAUUUAUUGGGCGUAAAGCGAGCGCAGGCGGUUUCUUAAGUCUGAUGUGAAAGCCCCCGGCUCAACCGGGGAGGGUCAUUGGAAACUGGGAGACUUGAGUGCAGAAGAGGAGAGUGGAAUUCCAUGUGUAGCGGUGAAAUGCGUAGAUAUAUGGAGGAACGCCAGUGGCGAAGGCGGUGCGCUGGUCUGUAACUGACGCUGAGGCUCGAAAGCGUGGGGAGCAAACAGG